ACCACCCAAGCAGAUUUUCCAUUCCUUAACCAUCUGAGCAAAGAAACCCUUCAGUUGCUUUCAUAGAGGCACUGAAAUUGUCUAAAAAAUCUGCAUAACACAUUUCAGAGUUUCUAAAAGGGGCCUUUUAGAAUCGACAACGACGCUUCAGUGUUUUGCUUAGCCAUACCAAACCUGAAAAGACCCAAAAUAACUAUUUGAUCUCGUUACUGAUCUGCUUCCCCAGUCCCAAAUCGUUGAAUCGUCGAUUGAGGUAUCAUUAGGAGCCCAAUUGUUGUCGAUCUACUUCUACUGCCUUAUGCGCGAAAGAGGGAAUGGCUCCAGCAAGAUAAGUUUCUACAUUUCUUUUUAGCCCUUCUGUUGCCAAGAGACGUGCAACACCAUUUGCAUGUUUUGGCACAUAAUGAAAAACACAGUGUUGAUAUCGCUCGCAUGUUGUUCUUAUGUUACAAAUGUAUGCCCCUAUUUUUGACCUUUCGACUCCCUUUUCUUUCAGUUUUUGGAUCACAGCCAAGGAGUCACAUUCGAUUUCCACACUAGAAAACCCAAUUGAAAGCCUAUCUCAGUCGCUUGGAAACAAGCCAUCCCCUUCGCUACAAACGGUGAAGGAUUUGUUAUUUUGUUGACAAAAUCCUGCAUCGAAGUUUAUUUUAAAGAAAUGUUCUUGUGGCAACUUCCAAGACACUAUAGUGGAAUGUUGUCCUUCAUGCAAUAACUUAUUACGCUCAGUCCAUAUAGCUCACAUCACACAACAAAACACACGACAAAGGCAUUCCUAGAACACAUGUUCCACUGUUUCAACACCAUUGUGACAUCGAGGACAAUUUUCUGAAAUAAUCAGUCGGUCGUAAUUCAAAUUAGCAUAAGUAGGUAGAAAAUCAUUUGUAAUCCUCCAGGCUGUAAUUUUAAUUUUGGAGAGCUGGUCUAGGCUCCAAAGUCUCUUGUACAGAUUAGUGUAGGGAUAGGAAUUUCCUUCAGUAAAAAUUUCGUGAUGAUUAUGUAUUAACCAUUUGUAAGCAUUGCGCACUGUGUACUCCCCUGUUGCUUAUCCAUUCCAAGCUCGAAAAUCCUCAUGUGGAACAUUAGAUAGAAGGAUGGCUAAGAUUCGCCUUGCAUUUUCUUGUAUAAAGGUAGAGUGUAUAACAUCCUCCUUCCAUUUCCUUGUUUUCGAAUCAAUUAAAUCUACCAAUCUUUGAAUAGAA